GUUCUCUUGGCUUUUUUAUUGGGUGAAAUCAGUUAAAAAAGUUUUUCCUUCUUUAAAAAUCAGUAGGAAUUAAAAAACUUGGGUUUUAAACCAGGAUUAGAUACCCUGUUAUUCUAAGCUAUGUUUGGGCAGGGUAGUAAAAGUUGUUCUUCAAACCCAAAGAUUUUGGCGGCACUUUAUCCGAGUAGAGGAGCUUGCCCCUUAAUCGAUAGUCCUCGUUUUAUCUUUCCUUUACUCGUAAAGCUUGUAUACCGCCGUUGUCAGAUUACUUUCAGAGAAUGUUUUCAAACUAGAAUACUUUUUAACUUCAGGUCAAGGUGCAGUUUAUGUAGGGGUGGAGGUGAGCUACAGUUUUUUGUAGAAAAAACGGAUUCUAAACUUAGAAUUUAGCUGAAGGUGGAUUUACUAGUAAAUUAG
rnacentral:rRNA from 1 species